UGGUUAGCAAUUUGUUGUCUCCAUGAAAUUUUCUCUCGGAAAUGAAAUCUCAGUUGAACUAAUGAAUAUAUGAAAUUAACGUAUAUACGAGUUUUAUAUCUAUCACGAGGUUACCCAUCACGAGAUUACUACGAAUAAGAGUCGUGCCAUGUAGAGAAAAUCGCCGCGAACAAUGUGUAUCGUCGUGCGUGUCGUUAGGAUACAAAGGUUUCAGAUACGAUACGAGUUAGAAAGCUAUGGAAAUUGCAACCAGUGAGUAUGACUUUUCGAGGACACGGCGAGACGAUGAUGACAACGCAUCGAACUGAUGCAUGAGGCCGGUAACGUGAGCACACCGGCAGCGAAGAUGUAACCACUGAGGACGACGAUGAUCCUCGAGGGCCCGCGCGCCAGAUGGAUCAUGGGUAGCCUAACCAGGAAGCACCAGACGCCGGUGGACAGCAACGUGCCCGCCAUGGUAAGCAGAAACGUGCCGGAGAAGAAGAGGUAGAUGCUCGUGUAGGACACGGUCCCUUGGUGAUUCUACAGCAAAAGAAUCCAGAGGAUCUACGGGGUGUUCGGUUACGGUCUCGUCUUUUCCGAAUUUCUCGCUAGAGGAUCUCCAUGGGACAUCUCUCCACGGAAUGUCCCAUGAGGAAUCCUUCAAAAAUUUGGAAACGUAACGAUAAAGAAUAAUAGAUUAGCAAUACUAUGAAUCAAUCGCGCAUUCUCUUAUUUAAAACGAACGAAUACCAUGUAUAAUAUAUAUUAUAGAUAUAAUCUCUCAAAC